rnacentral:rRNA from 1 species
UACGUAGGAUGCAAGCGUUGUCCGGAAUUAUUGGGCGUAAAGAGCGCGCAGGCGGUAUGACAAGUCAGAUGUGAAAGAGGCCGGCUUAACCGGCAAGGGUCAUUUGAAACUGUCAGACUAGAGUGCAGCAGAGGAUAGUGGAAUUCCCGGUGUAGUGGUGAAAUGCGUAGAUAGUCGGGAGGAACACCAGUGGCGAAGGCGACUAUCUGGGCUGCAACUGACGCUGGAGGCGCGAAAGCGUGGGGAGCGAACAGG